AAGCCGGGGAUCUUCGGACCUGGCGCUAGUAGAUGAGCCCGCGUGAGAUUAGCUUGUUGGUGGGGUAAUGGCCUACCAAGGCAACGAUCUCUAGCUGGUCUGAGAGGACGAUCAGCCACACUGGGACUGAGACACGGCCCAGACUCCUACGGGAGGCAGCAGGUGGGGAAUAUUGGACAAUGGGCGAAAGCCUGAUCCAGCAAUGCCGCGUGUGUGAAGAAGGCCUGAGGGUUGUAAAGCACUUUCAAUCGUGAAGAAAAGUUGCAGGCUAAUACCCUGUGACCUUGACGUUAACGAUACAAGAAGCACCGGCUAACUCCGUG
rnacentral:rRNA from 1 species